UACCAAGAACUUUUUUAUGAACUCAUGCCUGAUCUUGUCAUCGAGUGUGGCACAUAUAAUGGAGGCGCAUCUGCUUAUUACGCGAUGUUGCUGAGUGUCAUAAAACCAGAGGCCAAAGUAAUAACUGUGGAUUACCAUGCAAACCCUGGAGACCCAACCUUUUAUAAGUCACUUCCUUUCAUACAGGAUAGGGUUACUUACCUCCAGAAAGGUGAUGGAGAUCUGGACCCAGAGCUAUUUGGUAUCAUUUCUGCCGAGGCCGCGAAAGCAAAGACAGUAAUUGUGUUCCUCGACGCAGACCACACAAAGAGCCAUGUUUUGCAGCAGUUGGAG
rnacentral:lncRNA from 1 species